rnacentral:rRNA from 1 species
UACGGGGGGGGUAAGCGUUGUUCGGAAUUACUGGGCGUAAAGGGCUCGUAGGCGGCCAACUAAGUCAGACGUGAAAUCCCUCAGCUUAACUGGGGAACUGCGUCUGAUACUGGAUGGCUUGGAUUCGGGAGAGGAAUGCGGAAUUCCCGGUGUAGCGGUGAAAUGCGCAGAUAUCGGGAGGAACACCAAUGGCGAAGGCAGCUCGCUGGGACGUGACUGACGCUGAGACGCGAAAGCGUGGGGAGCAAACAGG